GGUUGGGUUAAGUCCCGCAACGAGCGCAACCCUUGUCAUUAGUUGAUCCGAAAGGGCACUGUAAUGAGACUGCCGGUGACAAACCGGAGGAAGGUGGGGAUGGCGUCAAGUCCUCAAGGCCCUUAUGGGUAGGGUUUCACACGUCAUACAAUGGUACAUGCAGGGGGCCGCCAACCCGCGACGGGGAGCUAAUCCCAGAAAGUGUAUCGUAGUCCGGAUUGGAGUCUGCAACUCGACUCCAUGAAGUUGGAAUCGCUAGUAAUCGCGGAUCAGCAUGUCGCGGUGAAUACGUUCCCGGGUCUUGUACACACCGCCCGUCACACCAUGGGAGAUGGUUUUACCAGAAGUGGGUAGCCUAAC
rnacentral:rRNA from 1 species